AGAUCCUUUGCCCUCUUCAGUUGGGCUAUUUGCCCUUUUAUUAUUCAAUUAUAAGAGUUCUUUACAUAUACAAGUCCAUUACCAGACAUAAAAUUUAGAAAUAUUUCCUCCCAUUAUUUGGGGAUUCUUUUCAUCUUCUUGAAGAUGUCCUAUGAAGCAUAACAACGUUUAAUUUUGAAGUACAAUUGAUGCAUUUUUUCUUUGGUUGCUUGUGCUUAGGCAUCAAAUCUGGAAAUUACUGCCUAAUCCAACAUUAUGAAAAUGUACUCGUUUUCUUCUCAGAGUUUUACAGUUUUUACACUUCAUGUAGGGCUUUUAUUGAGUUCAUUUUUGUAUAUGGAUAUCCAUAUGCUUCACUCUUUUGCAUGUUCAUAUCCACUUCUGCCAGCAGCAUUUGUUGAAAUGACUAUUCUCCCCUAUUCAAUUGUCUUGAACAACUGGUUAGUGUAUGUUAGUCUUCUGUCCCGUAACCAUGCUGAACUCAUUUAUUAUCUCUAAAAUUUCUUGUGUGUGUGUAAACUUCUUAGAAUGACAUAUAAAAUCACCAUGCAAAAGAGAGUUUACGCCUUCCUUUCCAUCUGGAUGCUUUUAAUUCUUUUUCUUGCCUAACUGCCUUGGCUAGACAAGCAGCAAGAGCGGAAAUCCUUGUUUUGUUCUUUGUCUUAGGAAAAAACUUUUGGUCUUUCACCACUGAAUAUGAUGUUAGCUGUGGGUUUUUCAGAUGCCCUUUAUCAGGUUGAGAAAAUUUCCUUCUGUUUUUCUCAUAAAGGGAUAUUGGUGUUUGUCACACACUUCUGCAUCUACUGAGAUGAUUAUGUGGUUUUUGUCCUUUGUUCUAUUGCUACAAAAUAUUUUAUUAAUUCAUUUUCAGGUACUAACUCAAUCUCAGCCGGUCACGGUGGUUCACGCCUCUAAUCCCAACACUUUGCGAGGUGGAGACGGGUAGAUCGCUUGAGGUCAGGAGUUCAAGACCAGUCUGGCCAACAUGGCAAAACCCCAUCUCUACCAAAAACACAAAAAUUAGUGGGGUGUGGUGCCCCAUGUCUAUAGUCCCACCUACUUGGGAAGCUGAGGUGGGAGAGUCACUUGAACCCUGGAGGCAGAGGCUGCAGUGAGCUGAGAUGGUGCCACUGCACUCCAGCCUGGGUGACAGACAGAGACUGUCCCCCCACCCCCGAAAAAAAAAAUCAAUCUUGCAUUCCUAACAUCAGUCGCACUUGGUCAUGGUACGUAAUUCUUUUUGUAUGCUACUAGAUUCGGUUUUCUACUAAGGCAACCACUAUUAAUUAUUAAAAACUGCACAGAUGAUCUGAACAUUGUACAAAAACUUAAGCAGAAUUCUUCUAUGGAAGGCUUUGUUUUCAGGUUAAAAUAAGGCAUGUUCACAAUUAGUAAUACAUGAACUAUUAUCUUCUAGUAAUUCUUGCCCGUAUGAGCAUAAAGCCACUACAGAUAUUCCGGAAAUGAACUCAGACCUUGACUUGCACAUAGUAAUAACAGAAAAAGGCACUGCGAAUCCCCAAUAGCCGCUUUAUAAGAAAGGAAUCUGAGUCAAAUUCUUAGACAUCAGUUUAAAGUCUAGAAGACAAAGUAACCUUUAAGAAAAAGACCUAACAUCAGCCGGGCACGGUGGUUCACCAAUCCCAGCACUUUGGGAGGCCGAGGCAGGCAGAUCACAAGGUCAGGCGUUCGAUAACAGUGUGGCCAAUAUGGUGAAACCUUGUCUCUACUAAAAAUACAAAAAUUAGCUGGGCAUGGUGGUAGGUGCCUGCAGUCCCAGCUAAUGGGGAGGCUGAGGCAGGAGAAUUGCUUGAACCCGAGAGGCAGAGGUUGCAGUGAGCCAAGAUGACGCCAUUGCACUCCAGCUUGGGCGAUAGAGUGAGACUCGGUCUCAAAAAAGAAAAAUAAAAAUAAAGACAGAAAAAGAAAGAAAAAGACCUAAUAUCAUCUAAAAUGAAAUCAUACAAACAACUUUUCCAUGAUGUUCUCAAUGAAAAGAUUUCUUACCAGUGUUCUCUCUGAUUUUCGAACAAAUGGAAAUUUUUCCACCAGUAUUGGCAUGAGAAACCACGGUGCCCUAUUUUUAAAAAAUUAAAUCAAUCCAUGUUGACUUUACUUUCUAGAAAAGGAAUAAAAAGGAAAACUACCAUUCUAAAAGCAAAUAUCGAUAGACAUAGGAGGCAAACAGGAACCCUUACCUCAAAGAACUGGAACUUUUUUUGUUUUUUGAGACGGAGUUUCGCUCUUGUUGCCCAGGCUGGAGUGCAGUGGCACAAUCUCGGCUCACUGUAACCUCUGCCUCCCGGGUUCAAGCGAUUCUCCUGCCUCAGCCCCCCAAACAGCUGGGAUUACAGGCAUGCGCCACCACGCCCACCUAAUUUUGUAUUUUUAGUAGAGACGGGGUUUCUCCAUGUUGGUCAGGCUAGUCUCGAACUCCCGACCUCAGGUGAUCCGCCCGCCUCAGCCUCCCAAAGUGCUGGGAUUACAGGUGUGAGCCACCGCGCCCGGCCAGAACUGGAACUUACAAUGUAUAGCUUCUGAGAAAGUCUAUAACAACUUAGAGAAAAUAAGCUUCUGUUAACUCUGAUAUCAACAGCAAAUCAAAGAGGGAGCUUCUCUCCCACAGAAACAUAACAGCACUUUUGCUGACAUUUCCCACUACACAUGUAUAUUAUUUUUAAAAGAAGAAAAAAUAAUCAAGUUGGAUUUUUUUAAGUUAACAAAUAAUCAACAGACAGAGGGAACUAGAAAUCCACCCCUCCAAAAGAAACCCACAAACCUGAAAAGCUUUUCUUAGAAGUGCAAUUUUUAUUCAUAUGGCAUGACACAAACACACCCAGGGGUUUCUCACUGAAAAAUUUUGGAUAGCAUAUCUUGCUAUUAUUUGCAAGGCUCUGUGAUAUGUGUCAAAAUUUGCAGGAAGAUCUGAAAGAAGAAAAGUUCAGAGUAUGAGCAUCAAAACAAAACUGAAGGGCGACAUGCUUGAAACUAAAAAUAAAUGCUGGCCGGGCACAGUGGCUCACGCCUGUAAUCCCAGCACUCUGGGAGGCCGAGGUGGGUGGAUCACCUGAGGUCAGGAGUUCGAGACCAGCCUGACCAAUAUGGUGAAACCCCAUCUCUACUAAAAAUACAAAAAUUAGCCGGGCAUGGUGGCAAACGCCUGUAGUCCCAUCUACUCAGGAGGCUGAAGCAGGAGAAUCACUUGAACCUAGGAGGUGAAGGCUGCAGCGAACCAAGAUCACACCACUGUACUCCAGCCUGGGCAACAGAGCGAGACUCUGUCUCAAAAAACAAACAAACAAACAAAAAGUGACAUACUUGAAGCUAAAAACACAUGCUAACCAAAACGGAAUAAUUUAUCAGAGAAAUAAUAAUUUCAAGACUUUUCUCCACCAGCAUCAAUGAAAAUUAAAUGGACUAAUUAUAUAAAUAAUGCAUUCAGGACAACUGACUGCAUAUCAAUGGUAAAUAUAACAAAAAGAUUACAUCAAAAGUUGUCAUUUGUUGCAGUCUACUUAUUAGAAUAGAUGCCAGGUAUUCUGUGCUUUACUUUUUUUUUUUUAAAGAAGACAGAGUCUUGCCACCAGGCAGAGCUUGAACUCCUGGGCUCAAGCAAUCCACCCACUUAAGCCUCCCAGGUAGCUGUGACUAAAGACACACACUACCCUGCCUAGUUCUACUUUAAGCCUUUUUUAAGAAAAUAUUUGAAAAAAAAUGUUUUUUUGCAGAGACAAGGUCUCACUAUGUUGCCCAGGCUGGUCUCAAACUCUUGGCCUCAAGUGAUCCUCCCAUCUUGGCCUCCCAAAAUGCUGGGAUUAUGGGUGUAAGCUACUGUGCCCAGGCUUUAAACCUUUUUAUACUUACUAUCAUCUUCAUCAUCAGAAUCUGAAACAUCUACAUCGCCUUCCUUAAUGAUCACUCAGGCUUUUGAGGGAAAAAGAAAAUAUGUUGUUCUGUCAUUGAUCUAGACAAUGAAUGGCUAUACAAAAAAAGUUAUUGACCUAGACAAUGAACAGCUAUAAAAAAAGUUAUUUUUCCAUAAUCCAAAGUUAGCCCAAUGAUUAAUUAAAUGCACAAUCUGAAAAAAAGUAAUGCAACUUUAUAGUUUUUAAAUGGCUAAAAAUUCCUAGAUUUCACCAGGAGUUCAAUAAAGCAAGUUAUAAUUCAUCAAACUCACAGCAACAAAUGAAUCUAGACACCUCCAUAGGGGUCAUUACGGGGAAUAUAUGUCUACCAGACCUGGUGCCAAUAUGCAUCUGGAAUCUUCCAUGGUAGCAGUCUCUCAUAUAUAAGGGGAAGGUGGUAUUUUAACAAAGAAGUAUUAAAAAGAAAAGAAAAGAAAAUUCCAAGCAAGCAAAGAGUAAUGACUUACGAGGCACAAAAUGGGAAGCAAUCAUGCUGAGACACGGUCUGAGGAAAACAGUCUAUGCUGAUACAAGAUUACCAAGAAAAGCCAAAUACUCUUCCACUACUGUUUGACUUCUAUUCAACCAAGGCAAUCUCUAGAGUGGGGGAAGAAAGAUAAAAGCAGCAUGUUAUUAAUAUAACAUAUACUAUUACCAAAGUUCUGAAUUACAUACUUGACAGUAAAAUAAAUGGUGAACUUACCAAUAUAAUACUGAUAAGUUGCUCAAAGUCUUUUGUCAAGUACAUGACAGAAGAACGGAAUUCUAGCAGCCAGUUGAUGAUCUGGUCAUCCUUAAGUUAAACAAAGAGUACUUUCAAAAUCACAAAUCCUCUAAGAUAACAGAAAUUUACAGCUAUCUUAUAUCAAUCAUUUAUCAAGAAUAGGUUGGGGGGAAAAGGUCACAAACUUGGAAGGAAAUCAAAACUGGGUAUUAAAACAGAAAAAGAUGUCACAAUAAACUUAAUCGUUUUAAGAAAGUAAUCUAGUAACUCUAAUACACAGGAGAAAGACUUAAAUGCAAUACUUCAGCCUGAUCACUUUUGUUUGCCCUGAAAAAGUGAAAUCACCUCAAAUGUUGACACCUGGGACUUUUAAAAACUGCAGAAUUCUAGCAGAUUGAAAUAUUAGAAGAUCACAAAGGAACAAUAGCUACCUCUAUUUCCUCUAUAUUCAAGCUGACCAGGAAGCAUGCUGAUAAAAUUCAGUCUAGGCUGAUCAAUUGGGGUCAUGAAUAAACAUAACUUUUCUAAACCAAAUCUGUGGCUGAGUUUAAAUAUAUUAUGAUGUGUUUGUUCUGUAUAAAUGAUAGCCCCAUUCCUCCAUGAAAUAUUUUUCAGGCAAUCAAAUUACUGUUCAUAGUAAUUGUUAGUGACAUGAGAAGAACUGCUAAAUUUGAAACGCAAGGUAUAAAAUACAGUGUCAAUUAUGUAAAAUAUUACUAUAUUAAUUAUAUUCAUGCAUAUAUACUGCACAGGACAAAAACCAUUAAGAAAAAGCCCCUAAUUUGUGGAAGGCUUAGACAUAUAAAUAAAAGCAACACAAGGUCAUCAUACCUACAGGGAUAUUCAUAUGGAGUUAUCAUUUAGUGAGAAUACACCAUAUGCCAGGCAUGGUGCCUGACACUCCGCAUAUAUAUCUUCUUCUAAUCCUAAGAACUCUGCAAGAUGUUUAGUUAUUCCCAUUUUGCUGUUCAGGAAGCUGAGGCUAAGAACGAUUAAUAAGCAAUCUGCCCAACCAAGAGGCCAGUAAAGAAGCAGGUCCAAACCCAUCUGUCUCGGUCAAGGCUAUCCUCUGUCCACCAUCCCACAUGCCUCCCUAUAUGCGGAGAAGAAGCUGUCCCCUUUUCCCCACCUUAAUUCAGCUACUGAGUGCUUACUAUGCCAUAUCCAUGUGUCAAACUCCCACAGAUCAACCAUUUUCUGAUGAAAUCCCAAGUAGCCUGGCAGUAAAAUAAAGUAAAACCACAACUCAUUUGUACUAUGGUAAUUUCAUAUGUCCAAAACUGUUAAGGAUAACAUUAACGGUAGCUCACUAAGGCCAAAGGCAUGUAGAAAACAAGCUAAGUUAGUGUGUAAAUAAAAUAAUCUAUCCUAUCUCUUUUCCACUAAAAAGACUGCAACAAAACUAUAAGGAUAACAUUUAAACUGUACCAUUUUUAAAAGUAAAUCAGGCUGGGGGUGGUGGCUCACACCUGUAAUCCCAACACUUUGGGAGGCCGAGGUGGGUGGAUCACCUGAGGUUGGGAGUUCGAGACGAGCCUAACCAACAUGGAGAAACCCCGUCUCUACUAAAAAUACAAAAUUAGCUGGGCGUGGUGGUGCAUGCCCAUAAUCCCAGCUACUCGGGAGGCUGAGGCAGGAGAAUUACUUAAAAAACUCGGAGGCAGAGGUUGCAGUGAGCCAAGAUCAUGCCACUGCACUCCAGCCUGGGCAACAAGAGCAAAACUAUGUCUCAAAAAGAAAAAAAAAAAAGUAAAUCAGUUGCAGACUUUGAUGCUUUAGUACUGAACUAUUAUUAUUUCUACUAGCAGGCAGGAACAGUGGCUCAUGCCUGUAAUCCCAGCACUUUUCGGAGGCCAAGGCAGGAGGAAACUGCUUGAGCCCAGGAAUUUGAGACCAGCCUGGGCAACAUAGGGAGACCUCGUCUCUAGAAAAAUUAGCCAGGCAUGGUAGCACAUGCUUGUGGUCCCAGGUGCUCGGGAGCCUGAGGUGGGAAGAUUGCUUGAGCCUGGGAGGUUGAGGCUGCAGUGAGCCAUGAUCGGGCCCAUUACACUCCAGCCUGGGUGACACAGCGAGACCCUGUCUCAAGACGAAAAAAGUUCUACUUGCAACACUCCACACAACUAGUGCAAUUCUUGGUAUGUCAAAAUACCAAGAAUGAGAACUGCUGAUACAAAAUACAGUGGAACACAAAGAAAAUGUCCCUUUGUAUCUGGGAAAGGAGGCAGGGGUCAGGAAAAGCUUUAAAGAGAAAGUGAUGCUUCAGCUGUCUUUAAACAGUAACACAGUUGAGUCUUUUCUGGAAGUUCUGCUUCUUACAGAAGGAAAAGUAUGUUUUCAGAAAACUGAAAAAUGUUCAGUAUGGCUGGCAUGUAUAGUGACCAAGCCAACAGAUAAUAAAUCUGGGGAACAAAGAAGCACCAAAUAGACCAUGGAGGGCCUUGUAAACCAGAUCUGUAACUAGAGAGAUCUGGAAGUGUGGGAAAUAGACUCAAUGAAGGAACAACCAUGUGCUUAGAGAGAACCAGGGAAAGCUCCAUGAAAGAUGGAGCCCAGCCAAGAGUGGACAUGAUAAGUUUGGAGCAUCUAUGAUGAUUCUGGGUAAAUGCAUCUAACAGACAGUUAAGAAACAAGUCUAGGCCGGGUGCAGUGGCUCACGUCUAUAAUCCCAGCACUUUGGGAGGCUGAGGCGGGUGGAUCACUUGAGGUCAGGAGUUCGAGACCAGCCUGGCCAGCAUGGUGAAACCCCAAAUCUACUGAAAAUACAAAAAAAUUAGCUGGGCGUGGUGGCACAGCUACUCAGGAGGCUGAGGUGGGAGGAUGGCUUGAACCCAGGAGGCAGAGGUUGCAGUGAGCCAAGAUCAUCCCACUACACUACAGCCUAGGUGACAGAGCAAGACUCUGUUCUGCCCAUCCCCAAAAAUGAAAAUGAAAUAAGUCUGGAGCCCACAAGAGCAAUCUUGGCUACAGACACAAAUAUAUUAGGACACAGGUAGAUUUCAAAGCCAUGAAGGGAGAUGAGGAGAUCACACAGAAGAAUCAACAGAGUGAGAAAAGAGUCAAGUUUUGAAGCCCAAUCAACACCAAAUUUAAGAUCAAGAACCUAUCGAGAGAUACUAGAGCUUAAAGGAUCACUGGCCGGGUGUGGUGGCUCACACCUCUAAUCCUAGCACUUUGGGAGUCCAAGGCGGGUGGAUCACGAGGUCAGAAGAUCGAUACCAUCCUGGCUAACAUGGUGAAACCCCAUCUCUACUAAAAAUACAAAAAAUUAGCUGGGGGUGGUGGCGGGCGCGUGUAGUCCCAGCUACUCGGGAGGCUGAGGUAGGAGAAUCACUUGAACUCGGGAGGUGGAGCUUGCAGUGAGCCAAGAUUGCGUCAUUGCACUCCAGCCUGGGCGACAGAGCAAAAAAAAAAAAAAAAAAAAAAAGAGAGAGAUUAAAGGAUCAGAAGACAGGAGGAUCAGAAACACUGAAGUUUUAAGAAGUGGGUGGCCAACAGUGUCGGCUGAUACAAGGAAUACAAGGCUUAAAAAAGUAAGUCCACUGAGGCUGGGCUCAGUGGCUCACACUUGUAAUCCCAGCACUUUGGGAGGCCGAGGCAGGCAGGUCACCUGAGGUCAGGAGUUCAAGACCAGCCUGGCCAACAUGGUGAAACCCCGUUUCUACUAAAAAUAAAAAAAUUAACCAGGCAUGGUGGCGGGUGCCUGUAAUCUCAGCUAUUUGGGAGGCUGAGGCAGGAGAAUUGCUUGAACCCAGGAGGCAAAGGUUGCAGGGAGCCCAUAUCACACCACUGCACUCCAGCCUGGGUGACAAGAAGGAGACUUUGUCUCAAAAAAAGUCCACUGAAAUCAGCAUGUAAAAAAAAAACAUGGGUAAUCUGUCAGGGUAAUUACUACAGUGAUAAGAACAGUGGACUUAAAUGUGAGUGAGAAAUGAUACAGCACAGUCAGCUGGAACAAAAACAACAGAUGACAAUUACUGCCCUUACUUUGAGUCAGAGACUGUUCUAAGUGCUUCUUGCAUAUUAGCUCAUUGAAUCCUUGUUAAGUAUUUCCAUGUUUAAAGCCAGGCACAGUGGCAUGCACCUAUAGUCCCAGCUUUUUAGAAGGCUGAAGAGAAAGGAUCAUUUGAGGCCAGGAGUUCAAGGCUGUAGUGCACUAUGAUCACACCUGUGAAUAGCUAGAGCAACACAGCAAGACCACAUCUCUUAAAAAACAAAACACUCCAUAUUUUUUAAAUCUCUAUUGUUUUCUUGGUUUCACACAGUGGAAAAUAGAGGCAGAGAGGUUAAAACAAUUUGCUCAAGAUCACACACUGGAUAAUAAAAUUGGAAUUUCAUUCCAGGCAAUCUAACUACCACUGCCAUGGUAAUAAACCAUUCUCUUCAAAACUGGGCAGUAAAGGAAGAAUGGUGAAACAAAAUGUAUUAAGGUUUUACUACAUGAUAGGUGUAUCUCGAACCUGGAAAUGCUGAAACAGUGGUUUGUUUUUUUUUUUUGGUUUGUUUUAGCUUUAAAGAGACAAAAGAGUUGCAUGCAGCAUGGAGGAAAGAGGUAGUAAUCUAAUAGAAAGGAAGCAUUAGAGCAGGGUUUCCCAGCCUCAACACUGUUGUCAUUUGGGGCUGGAUCACUCUUGGUUAUGGGAGGCUGCCCUGUGCACUGUGAGAUGUUUAGCAGCAUCUCUGUCAUUCACCCACUAGAUGCCAGUAGCACCCUUUCCUCCCAGUUGUGACAAAAAUAUCUGCAGCCAUCACCAAAUGUCUUCUAGGGGGUAAAACUGUCCCUGGUUGAGAACCACCAGAUUAAAGUAAGGGAGGACCAUGGAGAGAGCAAGUUCUGCAGAACAGAAUGGGACCCAAAGAGCAAACUAUGUCUGUAUAAAGUGGCAAUAAUUUUGCUAAUGAUCAAACACAAAAUUAAUUACCUUUAUGUCUGGAUCUAACAGCUGGUUCUUCAACAACUCAAAGUCAUUUGUUUCACCCUUAACAAGAAGGGGAAAGAAUUAAGUUAUGCUUUUGUUUCCUGUUUAGUAUCAACAGCAAGACUUUUAACCGUACUUUAACAUCAGAUGAAAUUAUAAAAGGAACACUAACUUUCACAUGUCAAUUGCGGAUUAUAAAAUCAUGACUACAAAAAUUUAAACACUCAUGUUAGUGCAGCCAGAGGGCUUGGAAAAAGGAAAAUGAUAAACUACAUUUAGCUAUACUUCUGUAUUGACAUUUGAAUAUAAUAGUUGAUACUCCUGCGAAUUCUCAAAAAGCAUGAGGGGAAAAAACAGCCAGCUCUAAUGAUCUAAUUCAGGAGGAUCUAAAAAAGUAUUCACUCAAAUAUGGAUACAAAUGGAUAUUUCAUAUAAACAUACGGUUACUUAACAUUUUCCCUCUACUGCUGAGAUAUAGUAGAAAUGCUUCUAAACUACCACAAAAACAAAAAUCCC
rnacentral:lncRNA from 1 species